GAAGUGCCCACACACGUGCGUCAAUCAAGCGGGUGCAUUUAGGACCAAUCCCAAAUCUGGCUUCGCUUUGUUAAUGGUGGAUUUACAUGGGCCUUUAUAAUGGGGCGGGGCUUCCACUGACAGAUGUCCUUUCACUUGCCGUAUAUUUAUAAAAAAAAAAAAAAGUAUCGCAAGUUGGUUCAGUCGGAAAUCACUAAUUUCGUCGACAUCAUAACCCCAAUGGUAAGCUACAUUUUGUCAUGUCCGCUUUUCUUUGUCAGAUGUGUAGAAUUAUCUUUUGGAUUCAAUCAUGCUUGCUUGCUUUGUUUGUCUGCUUUGAUUUGUGUCCUUGGCGCUUUAUGUUUACUGCAUCGCUUAACGUUUCUUGCUGUUCGCAAUCGGCAGUGCAAACACUCGCAGGAGCAGCGCUCAAACAACGUGGGCAAAAGUUAAAAAGUUAAGACUUGUAAUUGCAGUGGUGUCUAUGAUUAUUUCUGUUUUGUUGGAGUGUUUCCACGUCAUGUUUGUCUGGCUGCAUUGGAAAGUUUGAAUGAUUUUUCGUGACAGCUUGAGUUAGAAGUGACGGGGGCUUUGCUUCCGGGUUUGACCUCUGGGAUUUAUAUAGUCCUUUUGUUCGGUUCAACUUGUAUGGUUUCUCAUUAUGUUUUGACUAUGAAUCUUGAUGACAUUAGAAAUAAUUUUGAUUACAUUUUUGAAACAUUACGAGAAAUAAUGAUUACAAUGUUAUCGUUGAUCAAAUUAUUGUUAAGAUGAAGGUAUUAAGUUAAUGAAUUCAUGUCUAUUAUUUACAUUAUGAUGGAUAAAGACAGGUAAUUAUUUUUGUUGUUGUAUUCAUGCUUACUUUUAGGCUAUUACCUGCUGUGUGCCUCAAUAAAUAAUCAAAGAGUACAUCGCUAUUCAGAGGAGCAUGAAAAACGGAAAUAACUGAACAGUUAAACUAUGAAGAGUCGCUUCAGUGCAACGCUUCCAAAAAGAUAAUAUUGUGCAAAGGAGGUGGCAUGGCAACCCUACUGCAUGCCAAACUUCACUGUCGUACUCGGAAAGACCCUCUAUUGCCAGGUUGAUGAACCGACCAAAUGCGGGCUGCUGCUGCCGAUGAUGAUAAUAGCAGGGCUGGACCUGAGUGGCGUGAUUACCACAAUAAAGACGAUGAACGGAAACGUUGAGUAAAGAAAAAAAAACACACACAGAACCACAGGCACACACGCACACUGACAGUCAUUAAGCCAGCAUAUUGUUUUUGAUUGCCUCUUAAUAAAGACUACAUGGACCCACAA